GACGAACGCUGGCGGCGUGCCUAAUACAUGCAAGUAGAACGCUGAAGAGAGGAGCUUGCUCUUCUUGGAUGAGUUGCGAACGGGUGAGUAACGCGUAGGUAACCUGCCUUGUAGCGGGGGAUAACUAUUGGAAACGAUAGCUAAUACCGCAUAACAAUGGAUGACACAUGUCAUUUAUUUGAAAGGGGCAAUUGCUCCACUACAAGAUGGACCUGCGUUGUAUUAGCUAGUAGGUGAGGUAAUGGCUCACCUAGGCGACGAUACAUAGCCGACCUGAGAGGGUGAUCGGCCACACUGGGACUGAGACACGGCCCAGACUCCUACGGGAGGCAGCAGUAGGGAAUCUUCGGCAAUGGGGGCAACCCUGACCGAGCAACGCCGCGUGAGUGAAGAAGGUUUUCGGAUCGGAAAGCUCUGUUGUAAGUCAAGAACGGGUGUGAGAGUGGAAAGUUCACACUGUGACGGUAGCUUAGCAGAAAGAGACGGCUAACUACGUG
rnacentral:rRNA from 1 species